rnacentral:rRNA from 1 species
UAGGGAAUCUUCCACAAUGGACGCAAGUCUGAUGGAGCAACGCCGCGUGAGUGAAGAAGGUUUUCGGAUCGUAAAGCUCUGUUGUUGGUGAAGAAGGAUAGAGGUAGUAACUGGCCUUUAUUUGACGGUAAUCAACCAGAAAGUCACGGCUAACUACGUGCCAGCAGCCGCGGUAAUACGUAGGUGACAAGCGUUGUCCGGAUUUAUUGGGCGUAAAGCGAGCGCAGGCGGAAGAAUAAGUCUGAUGUGAAAGCCCUCGGCUUAACCGAGGAACUGCAUCGGAAACUGUUUUUCUUGAGUGCAGAAGAGGAGAGUGGAACUCCAUGUGUAGCGGUGGAAUGCGUAGAUAUAUGGAAGAACACCAGUGGCGAAGGCGACUCUCUGGUCUGCAACUGACGCUGAGGCUCGAAAGCAUGGGUAGCGAACAGG